UACAUAAUGUUUUACAUUUUCGUUAAGAAUACAUAACAAUUGAAUAACAGAAUACAAUUGAGUGAUCCUUUAUAUCAAUUUUUUUCGGUAUUUACACUAAUCUUAGAAUUUGUUAGUAACCCUAAUAAUGAACAAAUUUUGGGCUAUAUAAAUAGCUGCUCAAUUUUAUUUCUGAGAAGAGAUACUUGCACUACAUUUUUAUUCAAGUUCGUGAAACAAAUUGAUUUCGUAUCAUUUUUUGGAUUGGCAACAUCAGAGCAAUGAUCUUACUUCACAAUAACAUUCACCGGUAGAUUCAUUGUUGUUGGUGAUUAUACACGUUUUUUUAACCUAAUUGACAUAUAAUUCUAUUAAAUCCUCCAAAAGUGCAUCUUUGGAUAAUUCUUCUUUAAAGGUGGGUUAUCACGCAAACAUUUUUGUAGAAAAUUUGAUUCUAUAUAAUUUAUUAGGAUUUUUGGCGUUUACCGUUUGCAUAAAAUGGACAUCGUUUGCGAGACUCGAAUUUUUAAAAGUCGGCUCUGCCGAAAUCAAACGCAGAUUAGUAUGUCCCGUUGAUGACGUAGUGGUGAAAACUCGUCGGCAAAAAUUUGCAUUAGGUCAAAGGCUAUCUGGCUAUACCGGUAUAUACGCAAACACUACCGUAACGUAUGGAAUGUGGAGUUGGUGGUUACAGCAGAUUUCACAAUGAUGGAUCUGUCUCGAAACAAGGAGAAAACUAUGGAUAAAAUUUUCGCAAGUAACCUUUUUUGAUGUCUCUCCAUGGAACUAAAAGAACACCUCCAAGUCGAAGAAUCGUUUCAGCCUUAAAAUUAUGUUGGAACCUAUGCAAACUCCUACCCACAGCUCGAAACAACAAUACCUCACGCAGUUAUUCAAAUCAGUUUUUAUUUAUUUUUAACAUUUUAUUACAAGUUUGCAUCAUAUGUAAUUCAUUCAUGCCAAUAAAUGUGUUGUCACGAA